CAAGUCAACCGGGCCUCGACCGCUGCUAAAAUCCAUCAGAAAAGCUUCAAAAAUCGGCCCGGGACACUUCUGCUGGGCGCGGCCGCGCUAAACUAGCGCAGGCGCGCUAGUGGGGACAGUAGCUAGCGCGGGCGCGCUAAGCUUUAGCGCGGGCGCGCUACUGUCUGCCACUGGCAGUCCUGGUUCUUCGUUUUUUAGCUCAUUCUCGCGUGCAUGCCCUUCCUCGCUCUAGUACCACUUCCGUAGGUGAUCACGGUUGCAUUUAGCACAUGCAACAAGCCCUUUAAACCCCUAGAUAGCUCUAGUGGACGAGUGUGUUCUCGUGAGGGUUUGUAGAAGAUGUACCCACAAAAUCCCAAGUCGUGAUGAAUCCACAAUUCUCUAUUCUUGCAAAUAAUGCACCAAAAACAACCUAAAAUGAUAGAAAAUCACUUCAUCACCUCAACUCGUGACCUGCACAGAAAAACACUAAAAACACAUCAAAAGACACUAAACACUUAAGUACAACCAACCAAUUUAAGUGGAAAUGAAGGCCUAUAAGUGUGUAUAAAUACCACUUAUCACACCCCCAAACUUAAACUGAUGCUUGUCCUCAAGCGUCAACGACACUAUACAAUAAUACAAUGCAAUGCAUGAAUGCAACUACGUGAUGAAUGAGUGAACUAUGAAGUAAUUGCCGUGCCAAUUAUAAUACCUCAGAUUGUGCUAAUGUUCUCGAGUUUCAUCUCUCUCGCUACCAAGUCAAUUACUCUUCUAUUUACAAGUGUGGAGUGCCAGUGUGUGCAAGCAUGCUCUUUUAUUGAGACAAGACAAAAACUACUACUCCCACAGAAUCCC
rnacentral:lncRNA from 1 species